ACGCCAGCGCCACUGGGGCAAGUGGGUGGCGGAGAUCCGCCUCCCCAAGAACCGCACGCGGCUGUGGCUGGGCACCUUCGACACCGCCGAGGACGCGGCGCUCGCCUACGACAAGGCGGCGUUCCGCCUCCGCGGCGACAUGGCGCGCCUCAACUUCCCCGCCCUCCGCCGCGGCGGCGCGCACCUGGCCGGCCCGCUCCACGCCUCCGUGGACGCCAAGCUCACCGCCAUCUGCCAGUCCCUCGCCGGGUCCAAGAGCGGCUCCCCUGACGCCGAGUCCUCGGCCGCGUCCCCGCCGGACUCGCCCAAGUGCUCGGCGUCGACGGAGGGGGAGGAGGAGUCGGUCUCCGCCGGCUCCCCGCCUUCACCGCCGCUGGCGCCGCCCGUCCCGGAGAUGGCGAAGCUGGACUUCACGGAGGCGCCGUGGGACGAGACGGAGGCCUUCCACCUGCGCAAGUACCCGUCCUGGGAGAUCGACUGGGACUCCAUCCUCUCAUGAGCAAUCAACUGCAACUACUGUAGUAGUAGCAGCAAAGAUUCAGUCAGUCAGCUCAAUGACAGCUCUGUGUAAUUUUCA
rnacentral:lncRNA from 1 species